UCUAAUCCUCCAUCGCAGCCGCCUAGCCGAUCGUCCGUCCGUCCUAUCUGUCCAAACCGAUCAAAAACCAAACCUCAGUCAAGCCAUCCGUGUAGUCUGAAUCCCAGCCUGCAACAUUUGGUAUCAGAGCUCAAGCUCCUGAAUCUGGUGAUAUCUUAUCCUUGCAUCAUAUCUUAUUGCAUUUGUUCACCAAUUAAAAUCAAUAAAAAAAAAAAAAAUUCAUAGUGUUGCAUUUUCUGUCCGAUUUUGAAUUGCUUGUUCUUGGUUUUAAAACCAGAGAUAGGCACGAAAAGGAUACCUCAUUAUCUUGUUUGAUUCAUUUAGAAAACUCAAAAAAAAAUUUCCCUUGUUUGUAUUAAGUUGUCU
rnacentral:lncRNA from 1 species